CAUGACAAUACCAUUCUUUGGUGGUUUGAUGGGAUUCUUUGGAGGUUUUGCUCUGGCACCAACCUCAUAUUAUCUUCCAUGCAUCAUCUGGCUUAUUAUAAAAAAGCCCAGACGGUUUGGCUUGUCAUGGUGUACGAACUGGCUUUGCAUUAUAGUGGGUGUACUUUUGACUCUAACAUCUCCCAUUGGUGGAUUAUGGAGUAUCAUCAAAUCAGCCAAGACUUA